CCUACGGGAGGCAGCAGUGGGGAAUAUUGGGCAAUGGAGGCAACUCUGACCCAGCAAUGCCGCGUGAGUGAUGAAGGUAAUUUUAUUGUAAAGCUCUUUUCUUUGGAACGAAUAAAUGACGGUACCAAAGGAAUAAGCCCCGGCUAACUACGUGCCAGCAGCCGCGGUAAUACGUAGGGGGCAAGCGGUGUUCGGAAUGACUGGGCGUAAAGGGUGUGUAGGUGGUUUGAUAAGUUAGAUGUGUAAUACCCAGGGCUUAACUCGGGUGCUGCAUCUAAAACUGUUAGUCUUGAGUACAGUUGAGGUAGGCGGAAUUCGUGGUGUAGUGGUGAAAUGCUUAGAUAUCACGAAGAACCCCGAUUGCGAAGGCAGCUUACUAAACUGUGACUGACAUUGAUGCUCGAAAGUGUGGGUAUCAAACAGGAUUAGAUACCCCUGUAGUC
rnacentral:rRNA from 1 species